UGGCUUUCUAGCUGGGUUGGGGGAGCACAUCUGGUCUUGAAUACAUUUUGUGGAGGAAAGGGAUCAGCUGCCCACACUAUCAUAAGGAACAGACAGUGCAGGUACUUCCCUACCCAAAACUUCUUUCUUGUCCCAUUGUUCUCCAAAUUUUUCUCAUUUGUCCACAAAAGCUGCCAAAAGGGAUCCCUUUUAAUCGCCUCUGAACAGGGCUGCAAAUCAAGGGGUCAAAGUUAGCUAAGCCAGAAUUUUACACUUUCCUAGUUUGAAAAAGGGGUUCUCUUAUAAUUCUGCUCACUUUCACUGUGGUUUCCUAGGCUAGGGUUUCUGAAGACCAGCAUUUUGUGUGCUCUACAACAGAAAAUUAGAAUCCCAAUAUUAUUUCCAACAUAAUGCUAAGGUAAACCUUCUGUCAAUGCAAUCAUUCUCCCUACCUCCCCAUCUGUGCUCCUUAAACUUGCUCAGGACUUCCUCCCCAACCCUAUGGAACAGGUCUGGGGAUAGUGUAGGGGCACUAAUCCUUGCAAAAAAUCCUUGCACUAGCACUAACCUUGUAAAAAGUUCACUGAAUACAGUAGUAGUCCACUGAUGUCUUUUACAUUUAUAAAAUAAUGGUGCUUAUUCAGGAUGUCCUCAGGGCACAACUAAUAAAUUUUAAGGGAUCCAGAGUAUGCCAUUUUGCUUAAGAACUGGAUUAAGUUCCUGGCUAGAUCUGAUCAAAAUCUACAUUGUUUAGCAUUCUUCUCAGCAAUCCCAGCAAGUAGCAAGCAUUCAGUGGUCUAUCCAAAAUCACAAUAGUCAUGCAAAAAUUCUAGGGCUGUGCACAACCCUCCAAUCCUAUAUCAGAGCAGAUCCAGUGCUUCAGAGUGGCACUGAUCUAACCUGAGCUGAUUCAACCCAGAUCUGUGCUCUGAGCAGAUUCAGGGGCCUUCCACAGUGUUUAAUUAGGGUUCAAAACCUUAAUUAAAGAUGUAGUCCAGGGAGGGGGGAGAGGAGGCACACAGAGACUGUUGUGUACAUCUACUUCUUCCCUCUCCCAACCUCAUGUUUAAUUGGAUUUUAAACCCUAAUUAAAAUGCAGUUAGGAGAAAGGCAGGAGAUGUCUGCGCAUCUCCCCCAUCUUCUCUGUUAUAUCACCCCCCUUCUGCUUUUGACACCCACAGAUUGCUUUGGGUGGACCCUAUCCAACCUGGGGUAAUCCAGGGUUGCCACAAUCCUAUCUGACUAAAUACCAGGUCAACCCAAAUCAGCUAGAUUCAGUUCAGGAUCUGACCAAGUUUGGUACACAGGUCUAACUAGCAGUAGCAUGAAGCCAGUUCCUCUCUCUUUGUUUAUUCAGUGUCUUUACCACCAGAAGUUGACCAGUGCUCACAAGUAAAAAGCUCAGUCCCAUUUUUGGAUUGAUUUCAUCCACAUUUUACUAAAAAUUAAAAUUUUGCCUUCUCACCGAUUUCUUUUUAUUUAAAUAGAUGAUGAUGAUAAUAACAGAUUAGGCAGUUUAUAUAAUAGUAUAUCAUUUAUUUUAUAGAGAGUCUCUGCUCAUUAUUUUUCACAUUUCCUUGUCGGAGUACAACAGUAAUUAAGGAAAAACAAUGCAAAUGAAUACCAUUCCCAUCAAGUGAACAGCUCCCCCUUGACAUUUUUUAAAUGUCAUGAAAAUGUUGCUACAGUCAGUUACACUUGGAUGUUUAAUUCACAGAGAAAAACUAUAACUAGGGAUGCAAUGGCCCUAUCAGCUUUGAGCAAAUAAAGACGUAAUUGAAAUGGCAGACAUGCAGGGAGUUCCUCUGCUACAGAGGGGGGUUGGCAGAAGACUACAUACUAAAGUCAAUUGAUACAUCUUCUAUUGGUCUUGCCACUGGCUGUCAUGACCAUACCUGUCGACCUUGCAGAUUGUGGUGAAGGACCGAAGAGGAGGAGGUUCACACUACUUCCAUGGGGGAAUAACCACCAGUACCUUAUUCAGUGCCUUCCCAGCUAAAGGACACAGCUUUUUCACCAUCCAGACUUGGAGGAUGAUUCUUCUGCAAAAAUCUCUGUCUCCCCAGCUUCACAGAAAUCAAAGGCUACCAAAUAAGGCAAGUGCCUUAAGCAGCCAGCCAGAUGGAGCAUACCAUAUUUUAGGCUUGGUCAGCCUCCAUAAGGCUUCCAUUGACUCUAGCUCCCUGCAGAGAGAACAUCUGCUAUAUCUGCCUUACAUGACCCCUUGGAGCUGUCCUAGGUCCUGCCCAUAUGUUUUCCUCUUGACUAGACUCCCAUGUGAGACAGGUUCACUGUUUUGGUGUGUGCACGUGCAUGUGUGCACAUGCACCACAGAAACAUUCACAAGUUUCAUUUAUUUCAGUGAUGGGGAUCUGUAGCUCUCCAAAUGUUGCUGGCCUAAAAUUCCAAUUUUUUCAUAACUCUGGGAUCUGAACAGGGGGUAUCUGAGGAUGAGGGCUGGGGAUUCAGAGUGGGAAAGAGAAUUGCCCUCAGGGCCAGCACCAGAUGUACGUAAUCAACCAGAAGCACACGUGCAAGAGAAUUCCAUUAUGCCACUACUGCUCUGGUCUGAAGUUGUCACGUUGCUCUCCUCUAACGCAGAAGUCGUAGUGGACCCAUAGUUGACCCCACUCUGUUGGAGUCAAUGACUGCCAAACAAGCUGGAGUCCUUAAGUAAAGAUGAACCUCUUACCAAAGACAGAGCCAGCAACUUAGACAAAAACCCACCCUUUAUGAAAAAAUAAACAAAAUAAAAAUAAUUGCAAUUAUUUCUACCACUACUUACUCACUUUUAUUUCAGCUCACUUAUCAUAGAUACAGGCAGCAUUAUAUUUUGAAGGCAAUUAAUACAACAUACCUA